UCUUGUUUGUCUUGUGGCUAUAAUCAAUUUCAGACAGAAAAUUAAUAGCUGACAAUUCCCUGAUUGAGACAGAUAAAAGUGCCCAAAACAAUUAACAUCUGUGCAACUUCAUGGAGUAAUGAACAUCUGAAACACUCCUUCAGGACUAGAAUAAAGUUUAAUCACAUCUUGAGGAAACGUCAGGGUUUGUUCCUUUUCAUUUUAUUUUGCUUCUCUGCCAGAUGAAAUUGUUUCACUUCAAAGGCAGCUGAGCAGAGAGAAAUAGAGGGAGACAGAGAGAACUUUCUUCUCACACUUCAUUAACGUUGAUAAGAUGUUCUCUUUUGGGGAAUAGAAGACCCUGACUAGUGGGAGUCAGAUUUGAUUACUGAAUUGAGCUGAAAAUGAGAACAUCUGACGCUAAGCUCUGUACAUACAGAUGAUGCUGAACAUGAUCUUUUGAGCUGUAAAGAGAAAAAAGAUUUAAAAUUAACAAGUUUAUUCUGGACAUGGUGAGGCUUUACACAGAUUUGGUGACAGUGUAUCUGGGGUUAAAAUUACAAAAAAGGAUUAAAUAGGAAUAUCUUCAACAAAAGGUCAGCCAGAUAAGUAACAUAUAAACUUGUUGGGCCAUUUUAUUUUAUUUUAUCCACGUGAAAGCUUGAUGCACUGAUUUUCAGCACUUUUUUAAAAAUUGGGGGGAAAUAAAAUUUUACAAAGGCUUAAGAGUUGAGAGGAAGUAGGAAAAUAUAUUUUAUUAAUUAAAACUGCCAGCGAAACAAGUUAGUAAACUGUUGCUUAUUUACACAUUUAGCAGACACAGAGCAACAUUACCCAGCAAACAUUUCCUCAACCUGCGUCAAGGCCAACAAGUCCAAUAGAUGUCGAGUCACAAUAUGACUUUAUUUUUCGAUCAUUUGCCGACCUGAAAACAUAGUCUUAGGGAAAUAGUGAUUUCGAGGAAAACUUAUUUUACAGUGGUGUAACCAAAUGAACACUGUUUAAUACAACAACGAUAUAACUUUGUAACAUGAGUGUGAACAGUAGUGUUUACACAUGAAUUGUGUUAUUGAAAAGAGUUUUUAUUCUAAACGCAAUAUGCUAUCAUGUAGUCUAUAUGGCCAAUAUAGGGGCUAAAAUAGGUGUUUGAUCCCAGCAUUUCCCCGAGUUCCAUUUGGGAACUAUUUUUCCUUGCGCACCAACACUACAAGUAAUUCCUUUGGCCUCCAACGCAUUCGCAACAGGUGAUAUCAGUUCCACGCUGAGUUCGACAGGAGGGGUGGAAGUUUCAGAGAUGGAAUUGAUGAAACCACAGAAAGUGAAAUCAAAGCAGCCAUGGGUGUCCACCUUAAGCACGCACCUGGACACAAAGAUUGGAGGGAUGGGAUUUGGGUCCAAACAAAUAUAAUUUUCAUACAUGUUUUUGUUCUGGAUGUUGUACUUUGGGUAAUAUGGAGUAAAAUGCCAUGUAUUAAUGCUUGAUUUAAAGCAUUCAUAAUUAAAGGAAUUAUUAGUAUUCUGGGAAAAAUAUUCUGCAACAUUAUUAAUAAACCAAUGCCAAACUGGAUUCUUGCCAAAUUCUGGCACAACAGACCAUUUUUUAAAUUUAUUUAUUUAUUUUAUCAUGGCAACGGCAGCACAUGUAGAUGCGGUGUCAAGUAACUCCCUCCCUUUUAAUUUGCUAUUUUUAUGCCUUAAUUAGUGAAGCACGUAUUACUUAUGACAGUAAUACACUCACCAACAUCGGAAAAGGAAGUGCAAGGAUUGGAUUAAGUGCAGUGGACCUUGAGACGAUCACUGUUCACAGCAUCUCCCGUCCUGACAAUGAGACCAGUCGGGCUAAACGUCACCGCAAGCGAUGUGACCGAAACAGGAAAAUAAAAUGGAUGACAUCAGACUCAGGCUAACUCAACAACGGGAAAUCAGAGACUGCUGUGCCCUGAUCUUUACUGAGACCUGGCUGCAUCACAACAUCCCGCAUGAAUGUAUAUUUUCUCCUAUACUGAUACUGAUACUCACUGUAUGAUGGAAGGUCUAAUGUAGGAGCUAAAUACACAACCACGAAGACCCUCCACUGUCUACGUACUAAUACACACACACACACACAUACCAACAACAUCCUCACCUCAAAUACACACACACACACUCACUGACAACAUCAAUACACAGUUCCAGUCUUUCACAAACACACAGAGCAAAUGUUCAUUGUUUUUUUUAAGCUAUUUUCCUGAUUUUAUGAAUUGUACUUUUUUGUUUUCUUUUAAUCUCAUUAUUACUUGACGCUUUGGCAAUAUUGUCUUUGUUACACUCAUGCCAAUAAAGCAUAUUGAAUUGAAUUAUUAUAGAUGGAUCUAUCAAAUUUCUGAAUUACAUGACACUUUAGCACAGGAGUGUUUAUUCGGUUACACCACUGUAAUACAAGUUUUCUGUCAGCAAAGGGUUAAAAUAAAGUCAUGUUGUGACUCCA